UCACCGAAGUCUCUAAAUCAAUGGUAAUCUUCUUGAAUUCUCACCUAUUAUUAUCUCAUUAACCUGAAAACUAUUUACCUUGUUACUCAUGUGGUUUGCUUGGAGUCUUUGAAAUUCUUUAGUUUAUAUUUUUGUGUUGCAUAUAAUUUUUGUGAUUUUUGAAUUAUAGUGCCUCCUGUCUGCUAUAUAAUUACUCUAACAGCCAAUAAUAAUUAUCAUAUUCCGAACUGUUAUGCUUAUAACUUUUGCUUUACCAGCUAUAUUUUAUUUUACUGCUACCACUUCUUAGAUGCUUUAGAGAAAUGCUUUUUUUUGUUGAUUAGUUCAGUGCUUUAGCCACUAUUGAUUUUGCUCUUGCCUCCCUACUUCUCUCCCUCACAAAGUACAAAUUAUUUUUAUGUUACUUGUGAUUGAUUCUUAUAAAUAUGCAUUUUGGUUCUUGGAUAAUCAUUGUCAUUCCAGG
rnacentral:misc_RNA from 1 species